AUUAAACGCUGGCGGAAUGCUUUACACAUGCAAGUCGAACGGCAGCACGGACUUCGGUCUGGUGGCGAGUGGCGAACGGGUGAGUAAUACAUCGGAACGUGCCCAGUCGUGGGGGAUAACGUAGCGAAAGCUACGCUAAUACCGCAUACGAUCGAAGGAUGAAAGCGGGGGAUCGCAAGACCUCGCGCGAUUGGAGCGGCCGAUGGCAGAUUAGGUAGUUGGUAGGGUAAAGGCCUACCAAGCCGACGAUCUGUAGCUGGUCUGAGAGGAUGAUCAGCCACACUGGGACUGAGACACGGCCCAGACUCCUACGGGAGGCAGCAGUGGGGAAUUUUGGACAAUGGGCGCAAGCCUGAUCCAGCCAUUCCGCGUGCAGGAUGAAGGCCUUCGGGUUGUAAACUGCUUUUGUACAGAACGAAAAGGCUCUGGUUAAUACCCGGGGCUCAUGACGGUACUGUAAGAAUAAGCACCGGCUAACUACGUGCCAGCAGCCGCGGUAA
rnacentral:rRNA from 1 species